CCUACGGGGGGCAGCAGUGGGGAAUAGUGCACAAUGGGGGAAACCCUGAUGCAGCGACGCCGCGUGAGUGAAGAAGGAGUGCGGGAUGUAAAGCUCUAUCAGCAGGGAAGAAAAUGACGGUACCUGAGUAAGAAGCCCCGGCGAACUACGGGCCAGCAGCCGCGGUAAUACGUAGGGGGCAAGCGUUAUCCGGAUUUACUGGGUGUAAAGGGAGCGUAGACGGCAGCACAAGUCUGGAGUGAAAUGCCGGGGCUUAACCCCGGAACUGCUUUGGAAACUGUGCAGCUAGAGUGCAGGAGCGGUAAGUUGAAUUCCUAGUGUAGCUGUGACAUGCGUAGAUAUUAGGCGGAACCCCCGUGGCGAAGGCGGCUUACUGGACUGUAACUGCCGUUGAGGCUCGAAAGCGUGGGGAGCAAACAGGAUUAGAUACCCGAGUAGUC
rnacentral:rRNA from 1 species